GGGCACUCAGAAGACUUGCUGUCUGGGUUACACGCGGAGGACCUGGUUCCUCAUCUCGCCCAGGGGAAAGUCCCCGGACCAACGGCCGAAAGGGCGCUGGGUAAAGCCAGCGUCGACCGGAGCCCCGCCGCCCUCAGCCGAGACGCUCCUGGAGCCGAGCUGGGCGGUGUCCGGUCGACCUUGUCACAGUCGUAGUCAUGCAAGUGCGCGCCUCUGGCGCCAAACACAACGGGGCUCAUUCUCUGGGUGCC
ensembl:ribozyme RNase_MRP RNase MRP